rnacentral:rRNA from 1 species
GGGUUAGUCGGGACCUAAGCUGAGGCCGAAAGGCGUAGGUGAUGGACAACAGGUUGAUAUUCCUGUACUACCGAUAACCGUUUGAGAGAUGGGAUGACACAGUAGGAUAAGCUAAGCACACUGUUGGUUAUGUGUGCCCAAGCAUUGAGGCAGUCAAAGUAGGCAAAUCCGCUUUGAUAAUGCUGGGAUGUGAUGGGGAGCGAAAUUUAGUAGCGAA